GAUGAACGCUGGCGGCGUGCCUAAUACAUGCAAGUCGAGCGAACGGACGAGAAGCUUGCUUCUCUGAUGUUAGCGGCGGACGGGUGAGUAACACGUGGAUAACCUACCUAUAAGACUGGGAUAACUUCGGGAAACCGGAGCUACUACCGGAUAAUAUUUUGAACCGCAUGGUUCAAAAGUGAAAGACGGUCUUGCUGUCACUUAUAGAUGGAUCCGCGCUGCAUUAGCUAGUUGGUAAGGUAACGGCUUACCAAGGCAACGAUGCAUAGCCGACCUGAGAGGGUGAUCGGCCACCCUGGAACUGAGGCACGGUCCAGACUCCUACGGGAGGCAGCAGUAGGGAAUCUUCCGCAAUGGGCGAAAGCCUGACGGAGCAACGCCGCGUGAGUGAUGAAGGUCUUCGGAUCGUAAAACUCUGUUAUUAGGGAAGAACAUAUGUGUAAGUAACUGUGCACAUCUUGACGGUACCUAAUCAGAAAGCCACGGCUAACUACGUG
rnacentral:rRNA from 1 species